UAGGGAAUCUUCCGCAAUGGACGCAAGUCUGACGGAGCAACGCCGCGUGAGUGAAGAAGGAUUUCGGUUCGUAAAACUCUGUUGUUAGAGAAGAACAGCGCAUAGAGUAACUGUUAUGCGUGUGACGGUAUCUAACCAGAAAGCCACGGCUAACUACGUGCCAGCAGCCGCGGUAAUACGUAGGUGGCAAGCGUUGUCCGGAUUUAUUGGGCGUAAAGCGAGCGCAGGCGGUCAAUUAAGUCUGAUGUGAAAGCCCCCGGCUCAACCGGGGAGGGUCAUUGGAAACUGGUUGACUUGAGUGCAGAAGAGGAGAGUGGAAUUCCAUGUGUAGCAGUAAAAUGCGUAGAUAUAUGGAGGAACACCAGUGGCAAAGGCGACUCUCUGGUCUGUAACUGACGCUGAGGCUCGAAAGCGUGGGUAGCAAACAGG
rnacentral:rRNA from 1 species